CCUACGGGUGGCAGCAGUGGGGAAUAUUGCACAAUGGGCGAAAGCCUGAUGCAGCAACGCCGCGUGAGCGAUGAAGGCCUUCGGGUCGUAAAGCUCUGUCCGUAAGGAAGAUAAUGACGGUACUUGAGGAGGAAGCCGCGGCUAACUACGGGCCAGACACCGCGGGAAUACGUAGGGGGCUAGGGUUAUACGGAAGUACUGGGGGUAAAGGGGGCGUAGGUGGUUUCUUAAGUCAGAGGUGAACGGCUACGGCUCAACCGUGGUAAGCCUUUGAAACUGGGGAACUUGAGUGCAGGAGAGGAGAGUAGAAUUCCUAGUGUAGCGGUGAAAUGCGUAGAUAUUAGGAGGAACACCGAUUGCGAAGGCGGCUCUCUGGACUGUAACUGACGCUGAGGCACGAAAGCGUGGGGAGCAAACAGGAUUAGAUACCCCUGUAGUC
rnacentral:rRNA from 1 species